CGACGUCAUGCGGCGGCGUGCGUAAGGCGAAUCCCCGCAAGACCGCCCCCACGGCGCGGAGACGGCCGGAUCACGUGAGGACUCCGUGGCGGCCCAACCCCGGCGGAAGGCUACGGCGCCUCUUGCUGGACGGAGGGAGUUCCAAAAAUUAGAGCUCGCGCUGCAGGGCAAAGAUUUUGUUUGAGAUCUCUCCAAAAACUCUUCGAGAGACCUCAAUUACAGGUUGUUAUGCUUUAGAGAAGUGAGCACUCUUGGCUACAUAACAUGCAGGAUCUUCGUUCCCUGACCAGGGAGUGAACCUGUGCCCCUGUGAUGGAAGUGCACUGGGAGUACAGUAGAAGUGGACCACCAGGAAAGCUUCUUGGCCUUUAUCUAAGAUCAAAAUAUUAAAGAAAAUUUGGGCUCAAGAUUAUCAUUAUUAUUUUUUGUUCACUCAAAUUUGCAUAAGGUACUUCAGUUGCCUUUGUACAAAGAUAAACAUCUUUACCUGAAGGCUUGAUGUGGUCCCCACCUGCCUGUCCAGCUAAGACUCCAGCCUCCCAAUGCAGGGCACCUGGGACCUGGGUUUGAUUCCUGAUCAGGGAACUAGAUACCACAUGCCACAAGUAAGA